rnacentral:rRNA from 1 species
CCUACGGGUGGCAGCAGUGAGGAAUAUUGGUCAAUGGACGCAAGUCUGAACCAGCCAUGCCGCGUGCAGGAAGAAGGCUCUAUGAGUUGUAAACUGCUUUUGUACGAGGAUAAAUCCCGAUACGUGAAUCGGGUUGAAAGUAUCGUACGAAUAAGGAUCGGCUAACUCCGUGCCAGCAGCCGCGGUAAUACGGAGGAUUCAAGCGUUAUCCGGAUUUAUUGGGUUUAAAGGGUGCGUAGGCGGUGCGAUAAGUUAGGGGUGAAAUCCCGGGGCUCAACCCCGGCAAUGCCUCUGAAACUGGCGGUCUAGAGAUUAGUAGAGGUAGGCGGAAUGUAUGGUGUAGCGGUGAAAUGCUUAGAGA